CAGAAUGUAGUUUAUUAAAACAUUAGCUUUGGAAGCUAAAAUUCAGGAACCUCCUGCAAUCUGA
rnacentral:tRNA from 1 species